GGAAGUAAGAGUCGUAACAAGGUUUCCGUAGGUGAACCUGCGGAAGGAUCAUUAUUGUAUAACCGAGGUGCGAGGGCUGUCGCUGACCCGAAAGGUCGUGCACGCCCGAGUGCCCUCACACACAUCCAUCUCACCCCUAAGUGCACCACCGCGUGGGUCCCCCUUUGGCUUGUUCGGAGGGGGGCUUACGUUUUCACACAAACUUUGUAUGCAGUGUAGAAUGUAUUUUUUGUUUUUGCGAUCACGCAAUCAAUACAACUUUCAACAACGGAUCUCUUGGCUCUC
rnacentral:misc_RNA from 1 species